rnacentral:rRNA from 1 species
UACGUAGGGUGCAAGCGUUGUCCGGAAUUAUUGGGCGUAAAGGGUGCGUAGGCGGCGCGGUAAGUCGGGUGUGAAAUCUCGGAGCUUAACUCCGAAACUGCAUUCGAUACUGCCGUGCUUGAGGACUGGAGAGGAGACUGGAAUUUACGGUGUAGCGGUGAAAUGCGUAGAGAUGUGGAGGAACACCGAUGGCGAAGGCAGCCCCCCUGGGCUAACACUGACGCCUCAGGCACGAAAGCGUGGGGAGCAAACAGG